rnacentral:rRNA from 1 species
UACGUAGGCAGCGAGCGUUGUUCGGAGUUACUGGGCGUAAAGGGUGUGUAGGCGGUUUCUUUUAAGUUUGGUGUGAAAUCUCCCGGCUUAACCGGGAGGGGUGCGCCGAAUACUGAGGGACUAGAGUACGGGAGAGGAAAGUGGAAUUCCUGGUGUAGCGGUGAAAUGCGUAGAUAUCAGGAGGAACACCGGUGGUGUAGACGGCUUUCUGGACCGUAACUGACGCUGAGACACGAAAGCGUGGGUAGCAAACAGG